rnacentral:sRNA from 1 species
GGGACACUGAUUACUCACAGUAAAAUGUCUACAAAUCUUUGAAUGUAGAUAGAACAUGGUGAGUCUAAACAUGGAUCUGAACGUCUAUGACACUCUUUCGAGCUGACACAGUGAAGAACAUGGAAGGAGAACUCA